CUUUAAAUAAAAAAAUAGAUCAAGCAGUUCUUAUAAUUGAUAAGUGAGUAAAACUGACAAAUAUAUGGAAAAAAAACAUUAAAGAACCAGAUCAAUGAAAGACAAACCUAGAUGUUCAAAUAGUUGCUGCCAUAUACCCUGCUGCUAUAUGUUGGGUAACUAUUUGUCAAGAGAAUCAAUAUAAAUUUACUCUAUAAAGAGCCAAAUAAUGUUUGUU